GGGGGUUGCGCUGGCCACGUGACAGGGCCCAGUGGAGCCGCCUGGGGUUGCGGCGGCUGACCCCGGCUCUCGCGGUGCCCGGCCGCAGUGGGGCGCCGCCUUUCCCCGUUGACUGGGUUGCUGCUCUGGUACCUUCGUCCCCUUCAGCGAACAUUCUGUGACUCAGGCUUGAAUUGGAUUUAACUGAGCCUGUUAACCAGAGAAAACGUAGGCUGAGUUUUCCUGGGAUUACAUCAUCAUCCUCUUUUUCAGAUAAUUCUAGCCUUUGGCCGCCGCAAAACGUCGGCAACACGAUUGUGAACACCUAGUGACCUCUGGAAAACCAGUCCGCCCUCACCCCGCUGUACAUAUGGCCCAAGGUAGCGACUAGAGUCAGCGAGGUUCCAUGAACUCCCAGAACAAAAUGCAAAUUGGGAUUCUCUGCACUUUGCCUCCACUUCAGAGAACUGCUCUGGAGUUCGGCUUGAAUUAUAAUAUCACCCACUGUGCUGUGUGUUGAAAGGCUUGCAGCAGUGACCUCAUCCAGUAUUAGCCAAUUUGGUUUUUGGGAGACUUUGGAACUGGACUAAGGGUACAAGGGUACGUUAGUCCAUCUCUGCUGGUGACUUGAAGAGAAAACGUGAACUUGAGAUGGUUGUGCACUUGGAAGCAAGAAAACUUAUUUUCAGAGGGAGAAGCAGCAGCAGUUUUCAGAAUACUACUAUGAUAAACCAAGGAUUGAGGUGGGGAGAAUGAGACAUGUUGAUGAAGAUGUUUUUGUAACAGUCCCCAACCUGGAUUUUGCACUUGGCCUCCACCAGCUGCAGUUUGGUUUGUGCCAACUCCAGCUCCAUCUCCCUCAGCUGCUUCUUCAGGGAAUCCUUCUCAUCAUCCAGUUCCAGCCCCUGCUCCUCCCUGCUUACGGCUGCGAGCUUCAGAGUGCCCUCUUUGCUGAAAAUGUCGCUGCAGUGUUUACAAGCCAUCAUUUUACCCUGAAAGAGUCAAAAGAGAUAACCAACAUCAAACAAUUUCAUAGCAUAUAUCACUUCCUGAAACAACUGGGUAUGAUUUUCAUCUAGACACUGCUUGUUGUCAUCAAAUGCAGGUCCACUUCUGAAGCUUUCAGCGAAGAUGAUCAUUAUUGUUCUAGGUGAUGAAAGUAACUCUGCCUCAUGCCCAGACUGCCAACCAGGCACAUGGCACUGAACAACAGCAACUCUUCAAGUCAAUGGUGCUACUGUUUUCUUAAAAUAUCUCCAAAAAUAGCUUAGAGAUUUAAUUUUUAAGUGAUCUCCACACAUAGGGUGGGACUUGAGCUCACAGUCCGGAGAUCGAGAGUCUCCUGCUCCACCGAUUGAGCCAGCUGGACGCCCCGAAGCCAUCUUUAUUCUUAUGAGGGUCUAAAAAAAACCAUGAAGUCAAUGUUGUGUCUUCUCCUAAUGCUGUAUAAUCAAUGACUGAAGAAGCAUUUUCGGCAUUUCCAUCCAGAGCUCCUCCUGUCACUGCUGGUACCUCUGAAGGUGGGAACAGGAAGCUUUUGAGCCUGGGGCCAGCAAGAGCAGGAGGCAGGUCUAGACCUUCUGAGGUCAGGAGAUUUGGGGACUGAACAGAGGCUUUCGAAGGAGCCAGCAUGCCACACAGUGCAGUAUUAUUGGUGUCCUGGUGUCAUUAAAAUAAGUGAGUGACUCAUGCCUGGCUGGGACUGGCAGAGAUGGAGAACAUCAGUGAAGAACAUCGGCCUGCUCUUCUCAGGAAGACCAGAAGUCUCAACUCCUAGGGUAGAGAGGCCCCUCCUGUCUUUCAUCCAGAUGGUGUCAUCCAGCCCAUCAUCCUCAUAAUGCACGUGAAGACCGGAGGGUGCCAACCUCAAGGCUAGUUCCCAAAGGGCUGCCUUUCUCAUUCUCCCAGGGAGUUAAGGGUUGAGAGCUCUGGCAGGAAUGCCGACACUCCUUCCAAGGCAUGAAUCAGGAAAACCGAGCAACUCCCAGCUGAGAUUUCUGCAGGCUUCCUGCUCCCUGGGCCUCUCAAACUACCGCUGAAGUCAAUUACCUUGGAGACGGGACACAAACUGCAGAUUUGCCAAAGCUCUUGGAUCAUAAUUCCAAAUUGCUAAACUUAGAGAAAACCUAACCCUCUUGCUAGAUAUCUGAGUAAAGGCGUAUUCCUAAAAGCUGUUCAAGGGUAGAAAUCAGGUCUUGCCUCUACUUCUAACCCCCUCCAAAUGAAAUGGCAAGACCCAACACUACUCACAUGUCCUGCUUCAACAUUGCCCUUGAUUUAGAAUAAGUUUAAUUUUACUUGAUGCUUAGAGUAUUAACUCCACGCGCCGACACACCUGUGCAAAGAAAAGCCCACCUAUGCCUCUUACCUGGGCAGUCUCUUCCUCCUGUUUCCUCUUCUCCUCUUCGGUUUCCACCAGCCUCUGUUUGGUCAAGAGGAGCUCCUUAUUCAGCACAUCUGCCUUGUCUUCCGCCUGCACAUCAGAGAACAUCACAAUCAUCAAGGUGAAGAAAGAAAGCGUGUGCUUUCUCUAGUUAUGAUUGCUGCAUCACUACCAAAACCCACUUCCUCCUCCUGGCUCACCCAGAGGGCAGCUGUUUUAUCGAAUGCCAAGUAUACAGCCGGCACUUGGCACACAUUAUCUCUCAUCCUCACAACAGUAAUUAUUUUACAGAUAAUGAGAGUGAAGUUUGGAGAGAUGAAUUAAUGUGACUAGGGCACACAUCUAAGAUCAGAGCCAUGAUCUGACUUCAGACGUGAAUGACAUGAUCUUUCUAAAUACUUCUUACAUGUUGUCAGACAUCACAACAGCACUCACUCUGAGACUGUGUAGAUGGACUGGAUGAAUGGGUGGAGCCUCACAUGGAAGCUUCUAGCUGUUAGUGCAUGGUGGGGGCGGGGGAUGAGGAUGGAUUCAGAGAGGAGACAAGCUGAUCCAUGGACAACAGGUGAGAAAAUUCAAAGACCAGCAGAGGUAAAACAGCUCACGAAGGUCCUCACACAGGACAGGGAGUACGGCAAGGAGAAAUUAAGACCAAAAACCCAUGGAAGAGAUAGCCUUGGGGAAAACUGAAGUAUGGAACAGGAGUCCAAACAGAAAAGACCAUGUUUCUAGAAAGGCCGAGACAAAGCUCAGAGAGAAUACAGAAUAGAUCUUGGAUAUAGAAUCCAAUUAGAUAGGAAAGCACUGUGUGUAUAUUUAUAUUUAACUUAGUGAACACAUGCCCAUUACACACUCUAGACCCUGACCUCACCCUGGAGGUCUGUUUCAAGUCCACAUGCGCAGUGAAGUGACCCUGAACCCUGUCCCACUCACCCUUACCUAAAUCAGUUGCUCACCCCCAUCUACAUGAGUUCCUCUGCUGACCUCUCUCUUAUUUCCUUUGAUAGCACUUAGCAUAAUCUGUAACAACAGAUUACAUGUGUUACUUACUUAUCUCGCCUGUUAGACUUUCCUGCUUUGGGAGGAAGGAACCAUAGCUCUUUUGCUCAUCCCUCUCUCCCCAGCACCGAGGCCAGCAUGGGAGCAUCAGGUCCUCCACAAGCACUUGGGGAGUGAAUGGAUGUGGCUCUCCUAGUGCACCGUGUGGAGUGCAGGUGGCAGAGGGCCACAGGAUGAGUUCAGUAGAGAGAGCCACAGACACAGAGGAGAGGCAGCUAUUUGGAGAAGCUUUCCUUGGCUGACGACAGUGAAAAAUUAUCCAAGUAAUCGUAAAAACUGGCCAGGUGGCCUGUGUUUCACCAUAUCUCCCACAUGUCCAGAUGGCCAGGCCAGCGCAGUCCGCAGGGAAACUGCACUCUGGCUUCUCUGUUCUGUCCUAGAGUUCCUGAUGUCCCAUAUUCUAGUGGCUAUCGCUCUGUUUUCAGAUAAUUUGGAACUAUUGUGGAGUUAAGAUGAAAAAGUCCCUUUUAAAGACUCUAAAAUUUGUUCUGGUAUGUUAGAUUUUGCAGGGGGAAAUCUACAUAGCAAAAAAAUAUCCUAAAAUUAGAGGUAGGUAAAAUAUAUGUUGCAAGUGAAGUUUUCAUGAAUUGUAAGAUAUCUGAUACAGAUUAUAGAAACUCAAAACAGUGAAUUCUGGAGCUAGUCAGGUGACUGCAGUCAAAGCAGGGAGGGGCUCCCCAAAAGUCUCUGAUGGAAGGUGAUAGGGUAGAGAAUCCAAUAACUAUAUGGAUCAUUUCAGUGCUCUUGAAAAUCUAACCAAAUGUAGCUCCCUAUAACUGGUUCUACCCCAGAAUUAUUUGAGCAACAGCCCUCCUAGUAAAGAAAAGUACAAUUUAAUAUUCUCUUCUAGUACUCGCAGAAGUUUCCAUUUUGUGAAGAGAAGAGUCCUUUCUCUUCAUGCCACUCUGAAGUGAAUGAAUGUUCUCUAAGUUUGGUUUCUUUUUCUUUUUCUUUUUCUUUUUUUUAAGAUUUAUUUAUUUAUUUACGAUAGACACACACAGAGAGAGAAAGAGAGAGGCAGAGACACAGGAGGAGGGAGAAGCAGGCUCCAUGCCAGAAGCCCGAUGCGGGACUUGAUCCUGGACUCCAGGAUUGCGCCCUGGGCCAAAGGCAGGCGCCAAACCGCUGAGCCACCCAGGGAUCCCCUAAGUUUGGUUUCUUAAAGAGACCCCAUAUUUUAAGCCUUUUGUAAAUUUUUGCUACCUGGACAUUUAAGCUUCUUAAGUUGUGUACCACAUCUAGACAUGUUAUUUCAUAGUUAUGGAACACUAAAGAAACAUUUCCAACACCUGCAAAAAUUGCUGUGGGUCCCAUGUGGGAGGAGCAUCAGAAUUUUCUAGAAGCUUCAUCCAGAGUCUCUCCUUUAUGCUAAACAGUUAAGUUGGAGUGAUUCUGCUGUUGAUCAAGACAGGACCAGAUCUGAAAAACUUGGUUCUCCUUCUAAAAAUAGUCUUCUCGGUCUUUGUACACCCAAUUUCUAUAACUUACUUAAUUAGAAAUCAUCUUUCAUGUUAAAUGAAUCCCUAGGAACAUAGUACUACACAUAAAGAUACUCAUAUUCCAUCUUUGAACUCAAACUAUAAAAUCUUCACCGUAAUUUGUUAAGAUCAUUGUCAUUAUUAAUUCUAAUCACAUCUUUUUUUUUUUAAAGUUUUAUCUAUUUGAGAGAGAGAGAAAGCGAGUGAGCGAGCAGGGAGAGGGGCAGAGGGAAAGGGAGGAGGAGAGAGAGAAUCUCAAGCAGACUCCCUGCUGAGCGAGAAGCCCGAUGUGGGGCUCAAUCUCAGGACUCUGAGACCAUGACCUGGCCUAAAAGAGUCCACCACCCAACUGAAUGAGCCACCCCAUCAGUUACCAAUAUCUUAUAACACCUUAUUGAUACGGAGACUUGUAAUUGCUACCUAAAGCUCCUAUGACAAACACAUAAGAGGAAAAAGCACUGCCUUUUGUGAUUCCAUCAUGAAUCAACCGAUAACCUGAUCAAAGGAUUCAGCUCUCACAUCAGGGAUGAGGAUCUGUCAGAAAUGGUUUCUCAAAGAACUAGAAGAACUAGCCAAGCCAGUUCAAUUUAAAACCAAACUGAAGACUCUGUCACUCAUUACAUGGAGUUUCUGCUCUAACGCAGAACUUGCUAUGGUUAGGACCAGGCAGCGUCAUUAGUGGGAAAGUACUGGUUGUGUUUCUUCUGUUUGUUCCUUGGAAACAAGAAAGGACCAGAAAGGCUAGAAGGUAGCUAGCUACAGAAACUGAAAUGGAGAUGUUGUAUCUUUUUACAUUGUUAAUCACUGCAAAGUCCUUAUUUUAAGAGUCUGAGGGAGGGCGAGUUGUCAAAGCAGAAGGCUCUGUCAAAGAGAAUAAUUAAGAGCCUCUGGUGCCCAGGAAGCCCGAAGCCAGCAGUCACAUGAUGAGGGUAAGGAAUAAUUCAUUUUGAAAGAGUACCUAAUUACCUAAUUAGUUCUUGUUUGCUUUAAAUAUUGUCUUGAAUACAAUCUGCUUUCACGUUUGUUUAAUGUUUGCCAAAGUUUUGCUGUUUUAAUUAAGAGAUCUGAUUUUGAUAGAAGUGGCAAUGGAAAAGUACAGGGUGGACUGGGUGAAGGCAGGCAGAGCUGGAACUUUCUUGGUGCCCUUCCUGGCUGGCUGGGGGGCAUGAUGCCCAAAGCACAGGGACAGCUUCUUUAUAGGCAAACAAACCUCAGUCAGGCAGAAACUGCAAAAUCAGAUGUUCAGAGGAGAUAUGCAAGAAAUAGAUAAUUUUAUUCUUUGACCUAGAUAAUAAGCUUCAAAAGGCAGGGGCCAGGUCUUUCUUACUUUUUAAAAAAGAGAGGUAUAAAGGGAGGAAAUAAGAGAAAGAGGCAAAAAUGAAAGAAUGAAGGAAUCUUUUCUUCAGGGACUAGUACCUAGAAUCUCCAUGAGCUGUCUACCCAGGUAGUCAAUAAUCAAUUAUUUCAGGAGUACUCAUGCAGCAGUCUUUCCAGAUUGAUCCAGAAAAUGGAUUUUCUUGGUGGCACAACAUUUUAAAAAUAGUUUUUCUGAUUAUUAAAAUGGUAUAAUACAUAUUAUUACUAAACCAAGAGCGGUUAAGAAUUUGUGGUCUCCUUAUAAAAGACAGAAUAAUUGAAAAAAAUGUAUAAAAAUGAACCAAAAAAUUAGAUUUGACUCUCGUCGCCCAGAGAUAUCUAGUAUUAAUAUUUUGAUGGAUUUCCUUGUAGGCUUUUUUUAUUUUAAAGUACAUUUCAGCGUCCUUUCCUACAUAAUGGCCCUUUGCCAGCCAUAUCCCUUGCAAUUUAUAUGUAAGAAUUAUAUACAGAUAAAUUUAUAGGUUUUACAAAAAUAUUAUUAUAACAUCAUCUUCCCAUUGUUUCUAAAAAUGAUUCCAAAAAGACAUUUUACAGAUAUUCUUUUAUUCUCCCCUUCUAUUGGGCAUAUACAUUAUUUCUACUUUUUAUUCUUCUAAGUAACACAAUCUUGUGCACAUUAUUUUUGUAGUAAACAAUCUUGUACACGUAUUUACUACUUCUAAGCAGUAAAUAAUCUUGCAUACAUAUUCUUGACCAGAUUUCUACUUUUGUUAGAAUAGCUUCCAAGUCAGAGUAUAUAUGUCAUUUUCCUCAUUUAUUAAAUGUAAGAUUAAAAUAAUACUUGCUUGGUGGAA